rnacentral:rRNA from 1 species
CCGGUUGAUCCUGCCGGACCUGACUGCUAUCGGAUUGAUACUAAGCCAUGCGAGUCAUUGUAGCAAUACAAGGCAUACGGCUCAGUAACGCGUAGUCAAUCUAACCUAUGGACGGGAAUAACCUCGGGAAACUGAGAAUAAUACCCGAUAGAACAUUAUGCCUGGAAUGGUUUAUGUUUCAAAUAAUUUAUUGCCGUAGGAUGGGACUGCGGCCUAUCAGUUUGUUGGUGAGGUAAUGGCCCACCAAGACUAUUACAGGUACGGGCUCUGAGAGGAGUAGCCCGGAGAUGGGUACUGAGACACGGACCCAGGCCCUAUGGGGCGCAGCAGGCGAGAAAACUUUGCAAUGUGCGAAAGCACGACAAGGUUAAUCCGAGUGGUUUCUGCUAAAGGAACCUUUUGUUAGUCAUAGAACCACUAAUGAAUAAGGGGUGGGCAAGUUCUGGUGUCAGCCGCCGCGGUAAAACCAGCACCUCAAGUGGUCAGGAUGAUUAUUGGGCCUAAAGCAUCCGUAGCCUGCUUUGUAAGUUUUCGGUUAAAUCCAUACGCUUAACGUAUGGGCUGCCGGGAAUACUGCACAGCUAGGGAGUGGGAGAGGUAGACGGUACUCGGGAGGAAGUGGUAAAAUGCUUUGAUCUCUCGAUGACCACCUGUGGCGAAGGCGGUCUACCAGGACACGUCCGACGGUGA